rnacentral:rRNA from 1 species
UACGGGGGGGGCUAGCGUUGUCCGGAAUUAUUGGGCGUAAAGGGCGCGUAGGCGGAAUUGUAAGACAGUGGUUAAAUUUCGGGACUUAACUCCGAAUCUGCCUCUGUGACUGCAGUUCUUGAGUGCGGAAGAGGAAAGCGGAAUUCCCGGUGUAGCGGUGAAAUGCGUAGAUAUCGGGAAGAACACCAGUAGCGAAGGCGGCUUUCUGGUCCGCAACUGACGCUGAGGCGCGAAAGCGUGGGUAGCAAACAGG